rnacentral:rRNA from 1 species
UACAGAGGUCUCAAGCGUUGUUCGGAUUCAUUGGGCGUAAAGCGCUUGUAGGCGGCCUGUCAAGUCGCGUGUGAAAUCCCUUGGCUUAACCAAGGAAGUGCGCGCGAAACUGGCGGGCUUGAGUGCCGGAGAGGGUCGCGGAAUUCCCGGUGUAGAGGUGAAAUUCGUAGAUAUCGGGAGGAACACCAGUGGCGAAGGCGGCGACCUGGACGGACACUGACGCUGAGACGCGAAAGCGUGGGGAGCAAACAGGAUUGAGAAACCCUAGGUAGU